UACGUAGGGGGCAAGCGUUGUCCGGAUUUAUUGGGCGUAAAGCGCGUGUAGGCGGCCACACAGGUCCGCUGUGAAAACUCGAGGCUCAACCUCGAGCUGUCGGUGGAAACCGUGUGGCUAGAGUCCGGAAGAGGAGACUGGAAUUCCCGGUGUAGCGGUGGAAUGCGCAGAUAUCGGGAGGAACACCCGUGGCGAAGGCGGGUCUCUGGGACGGUACUGACGCUGAGACGUGAAAGCGUGGGGAGCGAACAGG
rnacentral:rRNA from 1 species